rnacentral:lncRNA from 1 species
GGCGCGAGGUGGGGAGCGGCGCUGUGCAGAAGCGCUGCUCUCUUAAAUCAGGCCGUGGUCUGUAGGUGCAGCCCCGCUGCCACCGUGGGCACAAGAGGCAUACGGUGUGUCCCGGCGUUCGUUCUGCACUGCAGCAUUUAGAGUGGGAUGGCGGCAUGGAGCAGAGGCAGAUAGCGCAUCAUCUCAGCAGUGCAGACAAGGCCGCAGAGAUUCGUUGCCCGCAGGAGUCAUCGGGGUCUGCCAUCACGUUGCGUUUCGUCUCAACAAUUCACAGCCGUUCUGUAUUUCCACCUUCACAUGUUACUUCCCGGGGGUAUUCACGUGAGAAGCAGCAUGCCACAGCUGAAGAAAAUGAGGUCCAGAAAAGGAAGCACGUGGGGGACAGAGAGAUGCUGGCCAGCAGGAGCAGCACCAGGUCCUAACUGCUGUCACCCUCUUUGGGCACCCAAAAAAAGAUGAGUCUUAAGGAGGGGGAGAAUUAUACGUAAUUUCA